UACGGGGGGAGCAAACGUUGUUCGGAAUCACUGGGCAUAAAGCGCACGUAGGCGGUCUGUUAAGUCAGGUGUGAAAGCCCCCGGCUCAACCGGGGAAUUGCAUUUGAUACUGGCAGGCUCGAGAACGGUAGGGGUGAGUGGAACUCCAGGUGGAGCGGUGAAAUGCGUAGAUAUCUGGAGGAACACCGGUGGCGAAAGCGGCUCACUGGACCGUCACUGACGCUGAGGUGCGAAAGCUAGGGUAGCAAACGGG
rnacentral:rRNA from 1 species